UACGUAGGGUGCAAGCGUUAAUCGGAAUUACUGGGCGUAAAGCGUGCGCAGGCGGUUAUGCAAGACAGAGGUGAAAUCCCCGGGCUCAACCUGGGAACUGCCUUUGUGACUGCAUAGCUAGAGUACGGCAGAGGGGGACGGAAUUCCGCGUGUAGCAGUGAAAUGCGUAGAUAUGCGGAGGAACACCGAUGGCGAAGGCAAUCCCCUGGGCCUGUACUGACGCUCAUGCACGAAAGCGUGGGGAGCAAACAGG
rnacentral:rRNA from 1 species